rnacentral:lncRNA from 1 species
GUUUUGUUUAUUGGCACUCAGUAUAAAAUAAUAUAUGUGUAAUAUAUUCAUUCUUGAAAUAUUUUAUAUAAAAUUGUUUUGAUUAUGUUUUUUCAUGAAGUAAAAACUGAUUUUAUGCACCAGUAAAGAGAUUUAUGCUUUGUCAGUUUACAAAUUACAAUAAAAAAAAAUGAAACAAUGGUAUAAAUAUAAACAAUAUUAUAUCAAUAGUAUAUAUUGUAAUUAAUAAGAAAUGAUAUUCCCUUGUUUUUCCUAGUUAAGACAUGAAACAAUUGCACAUUAACAGAUCCAGAGUGGGGUUCUGGGGGUGGAAUCCCCACUUUUUUGGAUGAACAAUGCAUUUGAAUGGGGAAAUAUAGUUGGAACCCCUCCCCUUUAUCCUGGGUUAAGAACCCCCCUUUUAAAAAUGUCUGGAUCCGCCGCUGAUUGUGCAUUAUUUAAAAUUAAAUAUGAGAGGUUAAUAUUAAUGUACAAAUUCAGAAUCUUAAUCCAACAUGAUCCAAUUUAUUUCAAAUUUUUAUAUUAUAAAGAACCAUGAAAAGAAUUUUUAUUUAGAAAAAAGAGGGUGUGAAAACUUUUUAUUUAUUCCUACUGACAAUAUACAAAAAGAUAAAGCAUUAAAGACCCAAAGAAACGAACAACCUUAUUCUUAUAAAUUAUAGAUGUAUUUUUACCUUCUUUCUAUCUGAGUGGUCCCAAUAUUGUAACUUUAUGACUCAACAUUUUACUCUGUAAGUGUAUGAGUCCAAAGAUAAUGGCAUAAUCUGAUUCUUUAAUUUUCAUAAUGUUUAUUGAAUAUUUCUGUACAUAUUUCACAAUUUUUACAUACAGAAAGAAGUAUUCAGUGGCAAGAAAAAUAUACUUUUUUAAAGAAUUUAUAUCAUUACUGGUAUAUUAAUUAUUUUUGUUAUUUUCUUAUUGUUGAUGAUUUUGAUAUUUACAUAUGUUUAAAUAUUAUGAAAUAAUUAUACUUUAAAUUAUUAAGAAGCCUAGUGUUUUUUCUUUAUAACUUUUUUUAGCCAUGUUGAGGGACCAUAGAUAAUGAUCAUUGUGGUCAUUUGUUCUCAUGUUGGGGUGCUAAAUAUUUAUAGUGGUCAUUUUGUGCAUUUAUUAAUUUGUGUCUCUGAGUGUCAGUCUGCCUUUAUCAAUUUGUAUUUUCAAUACGUACCUGUAGCAAAAAAGACUUUUAAGUUGUACUGUUACUCCACUGUCCCAGAUUAGGGGAGGGUUAGGUGCCUUCAAACUAGUUUAACCCAACCACAUUCUGUGUCUUCCUGUCCCAAGUCAGGGCUGAUAUUCAUAUAACUACUUGAGUUAAGAUAUUUCUGAGCAAACAUAUUUUUUCUACAUGUCCUACAAUAAAUUAGUACAAUGAUUGGAUAUCUUAACUUAUAAAAAAGAAGAUGUGGUAUGAUUGCCAAUGAGACAACUUUCCACAAAAAAAAAAGGUGGUUUAUGCAAAUCAACCCAGGAGC